UUUUACGGAGAGUUUGAUCCUGGCUCAGGAUGAACGCUGGCGGCGUGCUUAACACAUGCAAGUCGAACGAUGAAGCCCAGCUUGCUGGUGGAUUAGUGGCGAACGGGUGAGUAACACGUGAGUAACCUGCCCUUAACUCUGGGAUAAGCCUGGGAAACUGGGUCUAAUACCGGAUAGGAGCGUCCACCGCAUGGUGGGUGUUGGAAAGAUUUA
rnacentral:rRNA from 1 species